UAGUUUACCUGGCAGGGGAGAUUCUAUGAUCGCCAAGGUGUUUUUCCCACGGUGGGGACUGUCCCUUUUACUUUGGACAGGCUGGCUGACCCCUGUGAGUUCCCUAAGGCAGUUUUCCCAGGGUGACAACUGUCCAUUGUGCUCCAGCCAGGUUGACCCCUACCAGUGUCCCUAAUGCAGGAAACUUGACUGCAACAUUUUGUGGUAAUGUGGUAAUGUUUGUGCUUUCUCUGU
rnacentral:snRNA from 14 species